rnacentral:tRNA from 1 species
GCCCUCUUCGUCUAGCCAGGUCAAGGACACCAGCCUUUCACGUUGGUAACGCGGGUUCAAAUCCCGCAGAGGGUA